rnacentral:rRNA from 1 species
AUUGAACGCUGGCGGCAGACCUAACACAUGCAAGUCGAGCGGGGUUUUCGGACCUAGCGGCGGACGGGUGAGUAAUGCGUAGGAAGCUACCCGAUAGAGGGGGAUACCAGUUGGAAACGACUGUUAAUACCGCAUAAUGUCUACGGACCAAAGUGUGGGACCUUCGGGCCACAUGCUAUCGGAUGCGCCUACGUGGGAUUAGCUAGUUGGUGAGGUAAUGGCUCACCAAGGCGACGAUCUCUAGCUGGUUUGAGAGGAUGAUCAGCCACACUGGAACUGAGACACGGUCCAGACUCCUACGGGAGGCAGCAGUGGGGAAUAUUGGACAAUGGGCGCAAGCCUGAUCCAGCCAUGCCGCGUGUGUGAAGAAGGCCUUCGGGUUGUAAAGCACUUUCAGCGAGGAGGAAGGGUUGUGUGUUAAUAGUACACAGCCUUGACGUUACUCGCAGAAGAAGCACCGGCUAACUCUGUGCCAGCCGCCGCCGUAAAAC